CUCCUUCCACGUAGCCGUACGGGCAGCGGGUCCCGUCCCACUCACCCACACACCACGAAGAGCACGCGCACGCGGGUUCAAACUGGCCGAUAGACAUAGUCGCCGUUGGGUUUCUGCAGGGGGUGGCCGCCAGUUUUGCCGCCCCCUCCGCCCUCGCCACCCUCUCUUUUCGCUUACAGACUCCUUGUUGCCUGGCCUGAACUUUGGGUGCUGGCUGCACUUUAACCUCUCUCUUGAGCCUUUUUCCAGGUGCUGGUCAGCGCGAGCGGAUCUCACCUGCGUUAUCGGAGACGCCGCUCUUCUCUACUUCGAACUGAUUUAUGCUUGCUUGUUUUCAGCUCUAUUUUCUUCUCAUCCUCGCCUCGAUCAUCCGGCUUGCACACCGCACAGUCUCUUUUUCUGCUCUGUUCUUCCUCCACCCCACCCCGUCGUAGAUCUGCUCGACUUAAACAAAACUCCACCCCGCUCCUUCUCUGGUCGAUCGCGCAUUCUUGUCUGCCGCUGAUGGAGAAGGGAGAUGUGUUUGUGUUUACCGGCGAUGCGGGUGCUGGUAGGAUUAACGGAGGUCCUGUGAAGCUAUCGGACAUGGUUGGUCAUAAACGCAUCGACAUCCUGACGAACGACCACAAGGGCCUCGGCGGACUCCUCUACGAACUUAACGUGCGAAGCUCUCCAGCGGGCUCGCCCGCGGUGAAUAUGUGCUCCGCUGAGGAGCGCAGUGCCGCGGUGCAGCGCCGUGAGCUCGGCAUUGUAGCACACUCGAUCCCAGAGCGGCAGACGCGAUACGGUGUGAACGUGCUAUCCCAGCCGCCGAAGGAGAGUAUGUGGCAGUUCGUGAAGAGCUCCAUACAGGACGAUCGCGUUGUGCAAAUUUUGAUUGGCGCUGCCCUCGUAUCUAUGAUACUUGGCAUCACCACCCCAGACUUCCGCACCGGCGAGGUCGACCUCGCCAUGGGUUGGGUCGAGGGGGCGGCCAUCUUCGCCUCCGUGUUCAUCGUGACAGUCGUGAACGCAGUGAACGACUACCGUAAGCAGGAGCAGUUUGCCGAGGUGAUGCGGGCCGAGAACGCCGCUCGCCGCAGGGUCACAGUGUGGCGCUAUGCCCCGCUCAGCAGCGCCGGCGGCUGCGGUGGCGGCGGUAGCGUGACGGGCACGGACGGCCUCGCCUGCGUGGCGCUGGAGGUGCCAAGCUCCGAUAUUGUCGUAGGGGACGUCGUACAGGUUAGCGCUGGGAUGCAGCUAACGUUCGACGCCGUGCUGCUGGGCAGUUUGGGCCCGAUCUUGGCGGACGAGAGUAGCGUCACCGGGGAGAACGAUGACGUGCUGAAGCAGGCGCUCACCGACCCAUUUCUCAUUAGUGGGUCGUCGCUGUUGGACGGGUCAGCUGAGGGAGUGGCGCUCGUCUGCGCGGUGGGGCCCAACUCCUUUUCGGGCGAGAUCACCAUGUCCAUUCAGUCAACGGAAAAAACGAACACGCCGCUUCAACACCAGCUCGAGGCGAUGGCGGAGGUCAUCGGCAAGUUCGGCAUUGGCGCGGCCGUCUUCACGUUUGCAGCGCUGCUCAUCAAGGAGCUCUUCAUGUACCUUGUGCGUGGCAGCCCACUGUACGCCAUGAAGUUCUUUGAAAACCUGACCACGGCGAUUGCCAUCGUGGUGGUCGCCGUACCAGAGGGCCUACCGCUCUCGGUCACCAUCUCACUCGCCUACAGCAUGCGGCUCAUGCUGAAGGAUGGCAACCUUGUCCGUCACUUGGCAGCGUGCGAGACCAUGGGCGGGGCGACGGUGCUGUGCACGGACAAGACGGGCACCUUGACGGUACCAACGAUGCAAGUGAAGCAAAUCUUCCUGUCCGCGGUCACGUACGCGGUAGAGGACGCCGACCCCGUCGUGGGGGGCGACCUCCCGACCUUUGGCGACGAGGAGUCACCAGCGGCGUUGCCGACUCGCUCCAUACAUACUCACACGUUCGCGCCGCCACCGCCGCCGCGCGGGUUUGGGCAAAGCCCGUUCUCGCGCGCGCCUCCCAGGAGAGCCAUCACCGUUCCCCUACCUCCGUCGAGCGUGCAGCUUCUGCUGGAUUGCAUUGUAGCCAACGCCGUUGACCCAGAGGUAGGGCGCGCGACCAACAAAACGAGCGAGGCGUUGUUGUGGCUCUGCCAUCUCAUGCACUGCUCGAGCAGCCACGCAACACAGCAGGAUGUGCAGUCGUUCCGCAACACUCAGGCCUCCAUGCUGGCCGCGAUGCAGGACCCGAGUCGGUGCCGUCGCUACCCGUUCAGCUCGCACAGCAAGAUGAGCCUGUGCAUGCUGCGGCAGCUGGCCCCGCCAGCUGAUGCAGACAACGGAGGGGGCCGCACGCGAAUCUAUGCGGCCGGCGCAGCUGAGGUCAUCCUGGCGCGCUGCACAUCGUACAUUAACGAUAAGGGUGUGCCGGUGCCGCUGACGUCUGAGAUGCGGGUCUGCCAUGAGCAGGCGUUGACGCACUAUACCGAAUCGGGGCUGCGGACUAUCUGCUGUGCCUUCAGCGAUGCGCACGGUGCCGCAGAGGCGAUCCUGUGGAACCAGCAGCCGCAGCAGCUGCAGCACGGCGCGGCCGCUGCGUAUGGCGGCGAGUUCUGCAUGAUCGGAAUGGUCGGCCUUGAGGAGGAUGUACGGCCGGAGGUGCCUGGCGCAGUGAGCCAGUGCUUUGGAGCGGGCUUGCGCGUCAUCAUGAUCACCGGUGACGCCACUCUCACAGCAAUCAAUAUUGCACGCCGCUGCGGGCUGAUUCGCGGCGGCUCAAGCAGUGGCGCGCUAAGGGGCUCGCCGCUGCUGGACGGCAGCCGCACCCUGCGCAACCCCGAGGCGCCUAGCUGGUCGACUACUGCUACGCUCGCGAACGGUAACGACAACGGCUUCAGCCCGACGGAGAACAUUGAUGCUGCCAUCUUCGUGAAUACGUCGCUGCUUCACUACGAAAACAGCGGCGCUGCCUCUGAUGUCGAGGGUCAGUUUUUGGACAGCGCGUUUGGCCGAACAGCGUGGAUGAUGCAGGAACCGACCGCGAAUGCGUCACCCCAGCAGCUCAUAGAUAGCGGCUACGCCCUCGACGGAGAAACCUUUCGGCAGCUCAGCGACACGGAGCUGCUCCAGCAGUACCUGCCGCACAUUCGCAUCCUUGCUCGCGCGACGCCGAUGGACAAGAAGAGGCUGCUCUCCCUCCUGCGCCGCAUCGACCCGAGCGCGGUGAUUGCAAUGACCGGCGACGGUACCAAUGACGCGCCGGCACUAAAGCUUAGCGACGUCGGAUUCGCCAUGAACGGCGGUAGUGACGUGGCGAAGCGCGCGUCCGAUAUCAUUUUGCUGAACGACAACUUCAUUGGCAUGGUGAAGGCGACCAUGUGGGGCCGAAACGUCAAGGAUAACAUCCGCAAGUUUCUGCAGUUUCAGCUCACGGUGAACUUUUCGGCGUGCGUUGUCUCUUUCUGUGGCGCUAUCAUGAGCGAGCAGAACAUGUCGCCCCUGAAGCCGGUGCAGCUCCUCUGGUUGAACCUCAUCAUGGACACGCUCGCCGCCCUCGCGCUGGCGACGGAGCUGCCAUGUGAGCCCAUGCUCCUCUCCCGGCCGCCCGAGUCGAAGGAUACCGCAAUCAUCGUGCCGAGCAUGUGGUUCCAGAUUGGCUUCCAGAGCACCUUCCAGGUCAUGUGCCAGCUUUUCCUGCUCGGCUAUGGGAAUGUGCUGCUGAGCGCGCGGGGGCACACGAAACCGCUGCCGCCCUCCGGGGAGCCGCCGCGCGACCCGCGCUACUUCAGCGACGCCCACAUCUGCUUUCUCUUCAACUCGUUUGUGUGGAUGCAGAUCUUCAACUUCUUUAACGCACGUCUGCUACACCGCAGCGAGGGCUUCUUCUCCAACUGGGCGGACAGCGCCGUGCUCUUUGUUAUUGUCGGCAUCAUUGUCGUGUUGCAGAUCAUAAUUGUGGAGUUUGGCGGCAAGAUUAUGUCCACGGUGCCUCUGACAGCCCAUGAGUGGUUCUAUUCUGUCCUCAUCGCAAGCGGCACCCUGCCGGUGGGCGCCGUCUCGCGCUGGAUCUAUGCCCGUUACUCGAAACGCGUGCUGCCGCGCGACGGGUGCUCGCGAGGGUUGCUGUCGCGGCUUCGGCGCAGUGUGAAGAGUGGUAGGCUGAAGGGAAAGAGGUAGCGGCGGUCGUGUUUGGUCAGGGCGCCUCCUGCCCUUCUUUCACCUCUCGCCUGCACUCUCGUAUCUCUCAAUGCUGUGGUGGCACUUACGCGCUGCCGCCUUCCGUGCUUGUCGCUUUCUCUCUUCAUGCGUGCGUAGGAAAGGUGUUCGCGUGCGCAUAUCAGGGAGUCGCACACUGCGCUUGCUGGGGGUGGCAGGGGGUGAGCGCAUCGCGUCAGCGGCGCGCCGUAUUUAUGUUCGUCGUCUCGCUGAUCUCCUUUCUUUUUCUGGGCCUUUUUUUGAUGCCGCACCAGUUCGUCUUUGUUGUGAUUUGGGUCGCCCACUCCUUCUUGGUUGUGGGCGGGGAUGGGGAGUUGGAAGGCGUGCUUGCCAUGCGUGUUGUUUCGAACGCGAAAGAAAAAAUGUAUGAAAAGUCGUGGUUCAUUCACUCGCUAAUGUCCCCACUCUCUGACCUCUUCUCCCCAGCUUUUCUCUUUCUCGGUCUCUCCAUCAUAG
rnacentral:misc_RNA from 1 species